rnacentral:rRNA from 1 species
GAUGAACGCUAGCGGGAGGCUUAACACAUGCAAGUCGAGGGGCAUCACGAGGUAGCAAUACUUUGGUGGCGACCGUCGCACGGGUGAGUAACGCGUAUGCAACCUACCCUGUACAGGGGGAUAGCCCGGAGAAAUUCGGAUUAAUACCCCAUAAUGAUAUUUUAUGGCAUCAUAAAAUAUUUAAAGCACAGGCGGUACGGGAUGGGCAUGCGUAACAUUAGCUAGUUGGUAGGGUAAUGGCCUACCAAGGCGACGAUGUUUAGGGGUCCUGAGAGGGUGCUCCCCCACACUGGUACUGAGACACGGACCAGACUCCUACGGGAGGCAGCAGUGAGGAAUAUUGGUCAAUGGGCGCGAGCCUGAACCAGCCAUCCCGCGUGAAGGAAGACUGCCCUAUGGGUUGUAAACUUCUUUUCCAGGGGAAUAAAAUCUCGAACGAGUUCGGGACUGAAGGUACCCUGGGAAUAAGCAUCGGCUAACUCCGUGCCAGCAGCCGCAGUAAGAC